rnacentral:lncRNA from 1 species
AGAACCACAAGAUUCCAUAGUAGUUUAUGGUCAUUUACUUAACAAUUUCUCAUUUAUAAAAUGGAGUAAGAAUAACUACUACCUGCCCCCCAGCACGGAGAACACGAUACAAGCAUGUAAUGUCCCUCUUUGUGGUCAUUUUGAAUAUUGCUAUAUGAAGGCAAAUUAGAAAAUGCUCACAGCCUACUUUUCCAUCAGGACCAAAAUCCUAGUAAGAUCUUAAGCUUCAUUAGGGAAGAGAUUGAUCAAUGCUAUACCUUCAGUCAUGAGAGUUUACCUGGCACACAGGAAAUGCUCCAGUAUUUGCUGGACAGAGAGAAAGGAAAAGAUGGAAAGGGAAAAUGAAGAUAUACAGAAAGAUCCCUGCAAUUACCCAUGUCUAUCAUCAUGAAAGGAGCAAGGUGCAAUGGAGAGAACACUGGGCUUGGAAAACCUGGGAUCCCCUUUUUUCUGACUGCAUGACCUUGGAAAUGUAACAUCUCUCGCUUUUUCUUCUGCAACAUGAUAAUGCUGUCUACCUGCUAUGGAUGUUAUGAAACUUAAAAAGAUAAUUGUAUGGGAGCAAUUUCUGUUCCUAAGUCACCUACCUCUUUCUGUCUCUUCCUUCCUUCCCUCCAAUUCCAGAUUUUGAUAUACUAUUCUCUUUUAAAAAAAAUUUAUUUUGGGACAGGGUCUUGCUAAGUUGCCCAGGCUGGCCUCAAAGUUAUAAUUCUCCUGCUUCAGCC